rfam:Aspergillus sydowii CBS 593.65 ASPSYscaffold_3_Cont168, whole genome shotgun sequence.
GGUAACGUGGCCGAGUGGUUAUGGCGCUAGUUUCAGGUACUAGUGGGAAACCGCGCAGGUUCGAAUCCUGCCGUUAUCA